AACCUCAUAGAUUAAAUUAGAGAAACAACAGAUAUGGGGAAUUGAAUUCGUUGACCCAAUUCAAUGUUGUUCCAACCAUAAUAAAGGUUGUUUGAUUCAAUGGGGAAAAUUACAUCAACUCCACAAAAACCCCUAAAUUGUUUCUGAUUUCGAAAUUUUGGUACUUCAUGAUAACUGUAAACAAAUUAUUUCACUUGAUUUCGUUCACAAUAAGGGGUUCUACUUCAAAUUCAACCUACUUUGCUGAUUCAGGCAGAUUCAGAUGAUUUGGAUUCACUACUCUCGGACUUUAAAGCAUCAGACUUUCCGGAAAAACUCUGAAUAGGUUACUUUCUGUUGGUACUGUCGGUAAAUUCUUUGCCCUAAGUUGUGAUGCCAAAACUAAAUCCAAUUCUUAUCUCUUUCUUCUUCUCAAAUUGAACAGUUACAUGAAUUACAACAAAUAACAUAGGAGUACUAUUACGAAAGCUCAGCUUCUAAUACAAAUUGAGGUUCGUCGUAGUCCGAGAAUAGAAGCGCUGCUAGACAUAGAAGCUGAGAAGAAACGACAACAACUAAGAGAUAUUCGAUUAAACAAUCGGCGUAUUUCUGAAAAGGCAAAGCGAGCAGCAAUGACGGAAAAUGAAAGACAAGAGCUUCUUCAAAAACGACGCAACGCUUAUCGUAUACGAACAGCACCACGAGAUACACAUGCAAACAAAAAUGAGCAUGAAGCAUCAACAAGUUCUGGUAUGUUUUUUUCAGCUGUGUUACUGUGUAUAAUUGUUUGUUGCUUAUUAGCAUAUUAGAUGUGUAUGUUUUGAGCAGUUUAGGUCACAUUUUGUCUUUAAAUCAUGUGAAUGUUUGGCUAGGAAUUGAUGCAAAUUCCGAUUCCCACAAAUCACAUGUUAGUACGGAUUCCUUUAGAAUUUUGUUUGGAUCAUGUCCUUAGGUUAAAAUCUAUCUAUAAACCUGAACAAAGGUAGAGUAUUCUUCUUUUUUUUUUUGGAGUAAUCAUGUGGAGUUGAUUAAGAUCAGGUUUAUAGAUAGAUUUUAUUUCUAAUAAAUAGUUAGAUUUUGUUGCAUGAAUAACUAUUCAUAAUGCUAUAUUGUCAUUCUUUGAUAAGUACCCUUUAUGCUAAGAUAUAUAUAGCAGCAAUACGAUAUUUUGAAGACCCAUUAAACUACUAUGUUUUUAAAAGCAUGGGGUUUUCCAUUUUUCUUUUAACUUUGGUCGGGUAAUUUUGGCAAAUUUAGGUUUCAGUUCCCUCUUAGAGUUCAUGGAACAGAUGGAUAGUCUACAGUGCACACGGUGGAUUAAGCUCCAUUCACUGUUGUGUAUAAAGAAGUCUUUUUGUCCUAGAAAACUACGAGUUACGAAUACACAUUCUUGAUGUAAAAGGACAUUUAUGAUUGAAAAUUUAUUAAAUGAAAAUUUUAAGUUUAGUUGUGAUUACUUUUGCACAUUAACAUGAAAUGAGUUUUUACCAUUUGACAUUGAUUGUUGAUCGAGUGUUGACUUUGACCGUUGAUUAUUGCACAAAGACAACAACAUUACGAAACGAAUGUACCGGCAUGCGCAUCGCGCCUGCGUGCUAUACUAGUUACUAUAAUGAAAAGCCACAAUUUCUUGGAAGAAUGGAGAAUGAAGAACAUACGUACUUCAGAUUUUCUUAAGUACUUAUAAG